AUACGAGCUCUACGGCGUAGAAAUGUGUCAAACGAGUGUUUGCGGUAUGUGUCUGACAAUCACGGUUUAUAUCAAGGAGUUCUGAUACGUUAUCGUUUCCAUGGUAACAACAUACGCAGGGAGUUGUACGGUGAACAAGCUGCAUCUCAUAGACACGUUAAGAGGCGAAUUCUUAUUUAUAAUCGUUGCUUUGGUUGGUGAAGUUUUGUGUCAAGAGACGUCUAUGUAACGUUUACGGAAGGAGUCUCCAGUGUCAGCGCUUUGCAACAGUCAGAGUAUCAAGAUGGUGUUCAGACUACAUCCAACACAGACCACAUUGCCAUUUACAAACAGGCUUAGUUUGUUAUCGGUGUACCAUACACGUCUUCCAAUCGUGCCCAAGAGAUAUUGCGUAGAGGCAUCAUCCCGUGAGAAAAGCGGUGGACGAACAGUGUCUCUAGGAGUCUCUUGACGUAGUGGAAGGAGUGGCACAUACAAGCCAAGCUACAGCACAGGAGAACUGCAUUACCCAUCAGCCCUUUAGCUUUUAAAAUUUCAUUACAGUGAUGGAUAGUUGAGUACACACACACACACACACACACACACACACACACACACACACACACACACACAAGGUAUGUCUCUGUAUCAGUAAAAAUCUAAACUGAAGACUUAAAAAAGUUUAGAAUGAUAAGUCCCUGGUUUGAACACAAGGUGUCGCCAUCAAAUAAAUAAAUAAAUAAAUAAAUAAAUAAAUAAAUAGGAGCUCCUCAUUUUGAAAAGUAACAGUUCAGUAUCAACCAUUUACAAAACAAACUUCUUGUUUGUUUAUUUAUCAUUUUAUUAGCAAAAUUCCUAAUGUGUGAGGAAAAAUAGUCUUAACCAGCAGUAUUGUGUAUUGUUUCACUUUAUUUUA